CCUUCGAUAGCUCAGUUGGUAAAGGCGAGUACUGUAAGUUGAUAACUGCAGGGAUCCUUAGAUCUCUGGUUCCAUUCUGGCUCAAAGGA
rnacentral:tRNA from 1 species